GCGUGGCCGCCAUCUUGCUGCCCAAAUCACACAUAAUCCCUGCCUACCCAUAGCUCUGGGAGCUAUAUCUGAGGAACUUCCUCCUGGCUCCUUGCUCUGCACAUUGCAAUAAAAUUACUUUCUCUUUCUCAAAGACCGGUGUCUAGAUAAUUGGCAACUGUGAGCGCACUGGGCAAGGACCCACCUUCCUGGGUUUGGUAACACUACCAGAAGCUGGGAGAGAGGCAUAGGACAGAUUCUCCCUCAGAACCUCAGAAGCAGUCACAGGAAACUAACAGAAGCAGAAGAACAUUUAAGGAAGAUUGUGUGAAUGAUGGUGUCACCAUUGAAACAGGGGAAAUUGCAGGAGGAGAAGGAGGAAUGUGAGUAGGACCAGUGUCCUAUAAAGAGGAGAAGAGACGCAGACGGACAGACACAUGGGGGAAGGACGCCACGUGAAGAUGCAUCUCCACCCUGAGAAUGCCUGGGACUGCCAGAAGCUGGGAGAAACAAGAAAGGAUCUUCCCAUAGAGACUUCAGAGGGAGCAUGGCCUGGCUGACACCCUGAAUUUGGACUUCUGGCCUCCAGAACUGUGAGAGAAUAAAUCUGUUCUCAUAAGCCUCCCAGUUUGUAGAUUUUGUUAUGGCAGCUCUAGAAGACUAAUACAAAUCGCCAAUAAUUUCAUAGGACACAACUAGAUUCUAAAGCUAGGGAUGAGUGAACUUCGGGCUAUUUCUAACCAAACAAAUAAAUAAAGGCUGUAGCAGGAUUCUGGGAAUAAGCUUUUCCACUAAGUCAACAAAGAAAUUCCAUCUGUAGUCGCUUUCAUCUAUACCUUCUGGAAAAUUGAAUUUAAUUCACUGGGUGUCCACCGAGGACUUUCCCUGUGCCUGGGCCCAACGCUGGGCCCGACACUGGGCUAGAUGUGCAGAGACUACACAACCCCUGGCCCCGUGGUCUUGUCUAGGAGACAAUAGUGUCAGCACCCAGUUGUGGUACAAGGCAGCAUGAGAGGAGUCCUCUAAAGUGGAAUCCAGGCGUGAGGGAUUCUGGAAGUUUCCACUGAGGAGAUGUCCUUGGUGUAGGGCUGGAAGAAUAGGGAAGAUUUUCAUGAUGGAGUCUGUGAGGCAGGGGUUCCAGGUUAAGUAGACAGAGGCGCAGGGUAGGGAGCUACAACAGGGUACCCAACAUCCAUGGUCUGUUGGAGGGCCAGGCACUGUGCCCAGUGAAUGCUGUGUUAGUUGAACUGGGUCACAAUCAGAAGGUCAGAACCAUUCCAGCAGGCACCAGUGUGGGCCAGCCCCAGCAAGAGGUAGUCAGAACAAUCCAUCCGUCAAAAUCCAGAAGGCAAUUUCAUUUCUUGAGAACACACCCAAGUGUCAACUGGAUUCAUGUCAACAGCAAAACUGCCCGGGGUCCCUUUCCCAGCUCUCAGGUUCAUGUCUCAGUUAUCCCAUGUCUCUGCCAACUUCCUUCUCAGCUGGCCUACAAAUUCUCCCUCAAAGCCAGCUCUUGUUUUUUCCUCCCCCUCCCCCCAUCUUUGCUUUUUUGCUUUUUCUUUCUAAUUUUUUUCCACCAGUAACUUCCUUUUGCGAUGUUGACUCAGCUUCACGCCCUUUGUUGGGGAGGCAAGAGCUGCUGAGGUGGGUGGAGCUGGCAGCGACAGCGCAGAGGCGAGGGGGCACAGGCACACCCACGUAUGGAGAUCUGAGGGCAGGGGUGCAGAGCAGUAACCGACAGUGAUGGGAGCACUGAACAGUGCUCCGAAUAGUUCUCUCUCAUCUGAUGCCACACAACCCUACAAAGGUGAUGUCUUGAUCUCCACUUUACAGAUAAAGAA